rnacentral:rRNA from 1 species
UACGUCGGGUGCGAGCGUUGUCCGGAAUUAUUGGGCGUAAAGAGCUUGUAGGCGGUUUGUCGCGUCUGCUGUGAAAAUCCGGGGCUCAACCCCGGACUUGCAGUGGGUACGGGCAGACUAGAGUGUGGUAGGGGAGACUGGAAUUCCUGGUGUAGCGGUGAAAUGCGCAGAUAUCAGGAGGAACACCGAUGGCGAAGGCAGGUCUCUGGGCCACUACUGACGCUGAGAAGCGAAAGCAUGGGGAGCAAAUGGG